rnacentral:lncRNA from 1 species
GCGAGAACUUCUUUGUGACGUUGUGCAUGAGCAAAGCAUUAGAAAGAACUGCAUGAGUAUAUUGCCUAAUAAAAAAAGAAAUCAACACUUAGUUAUCUACACCUUCCCAUAUUUAUGUAACUUAUAGGGAUUAGGAUGUCUUGUGCAUCUCAACCUCAAUUUAUCAACCAAUAUAGGACUUGCCAUGUUGAUACAACUAUCUCCAUCAAUCAUUAGACUAUACGCUUUCUCAUUCACAAAACAACGUGAUACAAAUCUUGGAGGUUCAUAUCACAACUCGUAGUCAAGACAAGAGUCAAGCUCAUAUAAGAGGUUACAUGAGCAUGAAAAUUCAAAAAUUCAAGUUCGAAGCCAAUAAAAUACAAAACUUUUAGCUUGUCAACUUGUGAGGUGUUUCAACCUUCUUGUUGAGUUGGGAAAUUGGUGUCUACUUAUUAAGGUAACU